rnacentral:rRNA from 1 species
AUUGAACGCUGGCGGCAUGCUUUACACAUGCAAGUCGAACGGCAGCGCGGGCUUCGGCCUGGCGGCGAGUGGCGAACGGGUGAGUAAUGCAUCGGAACGUGCCCAGUAGUGGGGGAUAGCCCGGCGAAAGCCGGAUUAAUACCGCAUACGACCUGAGGGUGAAAGCGGGGGACCGAAAGGCCUCGCGCUAUUGGAGCGGCCGAUGUCGGAUUAGCUAGUUGGUGGGGUAAAGGCUUCCCAAGGCGACGAUCCGUAGCCGGUCUGAGAGGACGACCAGCCACACUGGGACUGAGACACGGCCCAGACUCCUACGGGAGGCAGCAGUGGGGAAUUUUGGACAAUGGGGGCAACCCUGAUCCAGCCAUGCCGCGUGCGGGAAGAAGGCCUUCGGGUUGUAAACCGCUUUUGUUCGGGAAGAAAUCCUCUGGGCUAAUACCCCGGGGGGAUGACGGUACCGGAAGAAUAAGCACCGGCUAACUACGUG